UAUAAUUUCAAGAAACUUCAAGAAUCUUUAAAGAAGAUGGAGGAACAUGGGGUAUCAAGCAAUGUAGCUCGUGCUAUAGUGGCUGCCCUUGAUUGGAACUCGUCUCCUGAUGACCGUAAAGCCGCGUAUGCCUAUUUAGAAUCCAUAAAAGCAGGGGAUGUACGUGUCCUGGCGAGCACAUCAUUUAUUUUAGUAAGGAAAGAAUGGUCUUCAGAA
rnacentral:misc_RNA from 1 species